rnacentral:rRNA from 1 species
UACGUAGGGUGCGAGCGUUGUCCGGAAUUAUUGGGCGUAAAGGGCUCGUAGGCGGUUUGUCGCGUCGGGUGUGAAAUCCACUGGCUUAACUGGUGGCUUGCUUUCGAUACGGGCAGACUGGAGGUAUGCAGGGGAGAACGGAAUUCCUGGUGUAGCGGUGAAAUGCGCAGAUAUCAGGAGGAACACCGGUGGCGAAGGCGGGUCUCUGGGCCGAUACUGACGCUGAGGAGCGAAAGCGUGGGGAGCGAACAGG